rnacentral:lncRNA from 1 species
CACGUUUAAAGAGAAAAUGAAUUUGAAUCGUUCAUCGCGAUUUGAUUUGAACCGUACGAUCGCAUUUAAAAAGGAGACAAAUCUGGACUAUUCAUCGUGUUUAAUCGUGACCGUCUAAUCGCGCCUGAGGAGGGAAUGAAUUCGGAUUGUCCAUGUGUGCUGGAACAAAUCCAGAUCAUCUGAUCGCUGGUACGCAGAUUGUCAGCGUGGCACUGAGUCAGCACGCCUUGCCACGCGGUGUACUCUGGUUCGUCGGGACUACUGAUUUGGCGGUCCUACAUGACACAUUUUUUUUAAAUUGUUUUUUGACCCCCAAUUUUUAUUUUUCUUUUAAAAAU